rnacentral:rRNA from 1 species
UACGGAGGAUGCGAGCGUUAUCCGGAUUUAUUGGGUUUAAAGGGUGCGUAGGCGGCGAGUUAAGUCAGCGGUAAAAGCCCGGGGCUCAACCCCGGCCCGCCGUUGAAACUGGGGAUCUAGAGUGUGCGAGAGGCAUGCGGAAUGCGUGGUGUAGCGGUGAAAUGCAUAGAUAUCACGCAGAACCCCGAUUGCGAAGGCAGCAUACCGGCGCCCUACUGACGCUGAGGCACGAAAGUGCGGGUAUCGAACAGG